UACGUAGGGCGCAAGCGUUGUCCGGAAUUAUUGGGCGUAAAGAGCUCGUAGGCGGUCUGUUGCGUCUGCUGUGAAAACCCAGGGCUUAACCCUGGGCUUGCAGUGGAUACGGGCAGACUAGAGGUAGGUAGGGGAGAAUGGAAUUCCCGGUGUAGCGGUGAAAUGCGCAGAUAUCGGGAGGAACACCGGUGGCGAAGGCGGUUCUCUGGGCCUUACCUGACGCUGAGGAGCGAAAGCGUGGGGAGCGAACAGG
rnacentral:rRNA from 1 species